rnacentral:lncRNA from 1 species
AUGAAGCCGAGGAUCACUGGGGGAAAUGCGAAUCCACAGGCCUUCAGAUCUGAGGCAGCAUUCUCAAAUGCUGAAGUCAUCUCCUAUCCACCCGAGGCCCUCAGAUCUGCACAUCGAUGUAUGAAAUUGGAGGCUAAUAUGCAGGCUUUUCUGGAAGAGUUGAAGGAGGCGUUACUGAGUCAUAUAUGCCAGUUGCACACAAAUCCACCAUCUGAGGAAAACCUCCCUGUUGAUCGUCUUCCCUCUGAAAGUGGCCGCAGCUCAUCACAUGAGCUUUGCAGAAGAAAUUAGCCUGCUGUACCCGUCACCAAACAAAGGCAGAAAGAAUGAGUCCUUCCUAUCCCAGAGCAAUUGUGCUUAGUCUGUAUGGCUUGGGUGGAGUUUCCUUCCACCUCCCAUCCCACAAGAAAAGUCACGUGGCCUGGCCUUCAUCAGUUCCAGCAGGUAUUCCAAGAUUCUUUGCAGUGAUUGGCUCAGAGAUAUGUAGCAAUUGUUGACAUUUGGAGUUUCUUGACUCUCUUUGAUUGCAACUUUCUGUGCCCUGUUGCAAUAAAAUUCAGUUAAUACAGUAAUUAGUAUUCUGU